rnacentral:rRNA from 1 species
AACGUAGGAGACAAACGUUAUCCGGAGUUACUGGGCGUAAAGGGCGUGUAGGUGGUUUCGUAAGUCUGGCGUGAAAUUUUUCGGCUUAACCGGGAAAGGUCGUCGGAUACUGCAAGACUAGAGGACGGUAGAGGCGUGUGGAAUUCCGGGUGUAGUGGUGAAAUGCGUAGAGAUCCGGAGGAACACCAGUGGCGAAGGCGGGUCUCUGGACAGUUCCUGACGCUGAGGCACGAAGGCGAGGGGAGCAAACGGG